UACGUAGGGUGCAGGCGUUAAUCGGAAUUACUGGGCGUAAAGCGUGCGUAGGCGGUUCGUUAAGUUCGUUGUGAAAGCCCCGGGCUCAACCUGGGAAUGGCAAUGGAAACUGGCGGGCUGGAGUAUGGCAGAGGGGGGUGGAAUUCCGCGUGUAGCAGUGAAAUGCGUAGAGAUGCGGAGGAACACCGAUGGCGAAGGCAGCCCCCUGGGCCAAUACUGACGCUCAGGCACGAAAGCGUGGGGAGCAAACAGG
rnacentral:rRNA from 1 species